AGUGUAUAUGGUAAACCACAAUGAAGCAAAUUAAUUUCUAGUUUUAAAGGGUCUUUUAUUAUAAAGCAUUUAGAACAUGAGACAAGGUAAGGGAAAUAAUUUUUUAAAGUGUAAGGUACUGGGCAACCAGAAGAGAUCAUGAUCUAGAAAUAACUAGCAUUUUUGGUAUACGAAGUAGCUGGUCCUCCACCCUCUAACCCUGGACCUCUUAAACUCUGCUUCAGUCCCUCAACCUCAUGCCAGAGCGGGAGUUCUCUUUGUGCCAGGAUGACUCUUACCUCUGCCCUGCUGUGGAACUUAAAGGUUUAAUUCUAGGGCAAUUAACCUGCAGAUCUUCCUCAAAAUCUGUCGCCUUACUGUGAUUUAAUAAAAUAGCACAUGUUGUCCCUGGGAUAAUCGUGGACAAAGUUUCCAAUGGUUGGAGGGCAAUUCAAUGGAGUCAGGGGCUGCAUUAAGGAAAUCUAUUAUAGAGGAAGAAAGGACACAUCAUAAGAGUGUAAUGAGGAUGAGAACAGGCUAGAACACUUACAUUCCUGUUAGCACUUUGUGAAAAGCAUUUCGUGACAGAAAACUGCUAGUGCUGGCAGAUUAAUGAAGAGAGGACAAGAAAAACUGUUCUGUGAGCUUCAAACUAGGUCUAUCAUUAAAUUGGUUUAAACGUUACUUGGACACCGUCGAAUUAUAGUAUAUCCUUUUAGUGUGACUCUGGCCCAUAGAGUCAGCCUGAACAAUAGGGCCCUCAGAGCCAGCCUGGCUGCCUUUUGCUAUCGUGGCGUUUGAUCUUUUAUGAUUUUUGCACACCGUUUUCCCCCCGACUCUGUAUUGUUCCAUUCAUUCCCAUUGCUUGCUAUUUGAUGAUAGCUUCUCUAACUGCUUCUGUUUCUAUUUUUAUACCUCUGCUCUUUCCUCCUCUUCCCUCCCAUUUUCAGUUCUUUCCUGGUCUUGUUUUAAGGCAGCUUGGGUACAAAUUCUUGCUGUUCUUCCUCUCAUCUUUGUCUCCCUUAACAGCCAGCUCAAGUUUCACAUCUCUCACUGCUUCAGCCUAUACUGGUCUCUCCUUUCCUGCUGUACUUGCUGUCUGUGACUUUCUAUGUGGCACUAUAUAAUUUCUGACCUCAUUUCUUAAGUGAUUCAUAUGAAUGGCUUGCUUCUCCAGCUUUCUUGGAGGGAAAACAUCACCUUCAUUUUGUAUCCACUUUAGGGGAUAGCACAGUGUUGUAGAGGUAUUAGGUAAGCAAAAUAUACCUGUGUAGCGAACAAAUUAUGUAUUCAAGUCUUCUAUAACAUCAGGCACUCAAUCUUUUGUUUAAAGUUAAUGCCAUGUAAAAAUGGGUACGUAGGAUAUUAUUUUGAAUCUCAAAUAAUCUGAUUCUUAAAGUUAUAUUCUUUAUUUACUUUUAAUUUUCCUUUUAUAAUUCAAUCUGACAAGAGGGGCCAUCUGUGUAUGUGUGGGAAAUCCUUUGCGCAAUAUAGGCUUUCAGUAAAUACAGGUUUUAAAUAAUGCAAUGUGGAUAUGGCUCAAUAUAAUCUCUAAAUAACUACGAGGACUCUUCAAUAAGGGAAAUACUUUUCUGAUGGAUCAUUCAAAACACAUUUGUAGUAGACUUUUAAACUGUUAAUAAUCAUAGAGACUGUCUUAAUUGCUUUUGGAGUAAAGAAUUCUUUUGUAAUAUGAAGAACCUCUUGCUAAUUCAUCUGUUUUGCUAGACUGGAUUUUCUUAAAUUGGCUUGCUUUAAAAUGGGUAUACUUGUGCUUUAAAAAGCUCCAGAGACCUUCCAUCCAUCUACAAAUACAAAAAUAGCAAUAAUGACUGACAGUCCCCCCCUUCCCCUGUCAGUUAUGGGGACUAUUUAAGGUUCUAUCUUUUUCAUGCUCCAGAAAUAAUAUGGGGUUUAAAUUCAACUGCCUUUAAUCUGAAACACUGACUGAGCUCCAAACCACUUAGCAGCCUGCCACUUUUCAAUGGGAGGGGAAAACAGCGAUGUAAUUUACUGUCCACAUUUUAUAGUUUCCCCUUUAAAAAACUUGCUUACACAGUUCCUGUAUUUGCAGAGACUAGAGAGUGAGACAGCUUUUAAAUGUGGCCCUGGCUGGGCGAUGCUGGGAAGCCCAAGCAGCUGACAGGCUACCCUAGCUGGUGCAAGGUGAUGAGAGAUAAGGGGCUCUGGGAAUAAAGGUGUCAGGGAGAGUAUGAGGGAAGAUGUAAGCUACACAACAGGUUUGACAAGCCAAAGGGUAAGCACAGUAUGGGAGGGACAGAGGCUCAUGGCCGACCUGCGCUGCUGAACUCAGGUGUACAUCUAGGUAACAGUCGUAUCAUUGUUUUCAUCAGGCAGCAGCAUUUACUGGGUACUGACUCACUGCUUGGGAGUUUCUUCACCAUUACUCUCUCUGAACCCUGAUGUCUUAGAGAUUCAGCCAAAGGAACGUCUGUCCUCGCAUAUUAUCUUUAUUACUGAACAGGCAGUGUCUGCCCUGGACCUUGUCUAGGAAAACUGGAUAAGAGGCCCUGGCUUCUUAAGACCCUGCUCCAUUACCGUCUGCAGCAGAAGUGUCUGAAUCCAGAUGGCCUCUACUGUCUCAGUGAAGGGCUGUUCCUGGUUGGGUCCAGCAGAUCCCAAAAGUACCUGAUCAGGUGAAAUGAGGUCCUUCUAGUUGUGGCAUGUGGUACGCUGCCUCAGUGUGGUUUGAUGAGCAGUGCCAUGUCCGUGCCCAGGAUUUGAACCAAGGAAACACUGGGCCGCCUGCAGUGAAGCACGUGAACUUAACCACUCGGCCACGGGGCCAGCCCCUGGAAUCCUCUCUUUUUGCUGAUGUACCACGUAGCUCACCGUGUAACCAUGUCAGGUUAAACAUGGCCAUGUAGAGACUCGUAUAAGAGAGGGUGUGGGUGUGAGACUCAGGAAAACCUUUUAAAAGUGGUAGCUGUUCAAUUCUGAAGUCUCACAAUAAAUGGGAUUGUCUCACAAUUAAAUUAGCCUUGUGAUUUUUUGUGGGGUGUGCAGAAAGAGUAAGAGGGAAAUAUCUCAGUGCAGAUACAGAGUUCAAGUAAAUUUUGAAGUCAUUAAAGUUUGAGCAGAUAGAUAUGUUCAAAUCAAAGUUAACUGGAUAGAAUAAAGUAUGACUGUAAUGCCUACUUAGGGCUUCAAGUUUUGUUGAAUCUUCUAAAUAUUAGGCCAAGUGGUAUUAUUUGCUUGGUUUUUGCUUUUCUGCCCAUUUCCACAAGCACGAAGUUCUUAUUUGAAGAGAACAAACACUUUUCUUAUUGUACAAAUCUGUUUGAAAUAGGGAAGGAUCAAUUUUGGGAAAAAUUUUCAGCCUGGUGUCUUUUUUCCUAGCCUGCAUAUUGCCCAUAACCGCUCCCACAUACUCUAGUCCUAAGAUAGUCUGAAGUUUCAAAAUGCCAACAAAAAAUUCUCUGUAUUUAGGUUGUUUUGAAUUGUUAAUUAUUGGUGGCAAUGGAUGAGUGUCCAGCACCUUGGAACUUUUGCAAAAGAAACUUAAUAAGGAUACAUUUGCUGUAGUUGGAAAAGUGUUUGAUGAACAGCUGACCUUUCAAAUGUUUACAUGAGUUGAAUCUCUGAACUGCUAACGUUAGGAAGGUCCAAGUUCUAAUUCAGACUCAGACACUGAAUCCCUUUGUAGGGAAAGCUUUUAAAUAUCUUCAGUUUUCUCAUUUGUUUUUUAAAGACAGGCUGACUUUACCCACCGAUUAAUUGGUUAAUGUUUGUGAAUGUUUUGAGAGGAUGAAAAGCAAUUUCCUAAGGCAGUGCC
ensembl:lncRNA